rfam:Lysinimicrobium mangrovi strain DSM 24868 genome assembly, contig: Ga0111703_103
CAACGGCAUUUCUUCACUACGGAUCGUCCGGCACGUACCUGCCGGUGAAGGGAAACA